GCACACGCUAGGUCAAUAGAGCAGACGCUUCGUAAGCGCCAGGUUUCGAGUUCAAGUCUCGAGGGUGGCU
rnacentral:tRNA from 1 species